AGCAUACUAGCCAGGUAUGAAAGCCUAUCAAGGCCUCAAUAAAACUCUCAUUUUUUGCUGCCUGCCUAGAACAAGGAGGCUGCCAAGCCAUAGGCAGGUCACAAAAUGUGUGAGUUGUGCUGGAAGUGCAACAGCCGAUAACAUUCAGCAGCUAACCAAGAGGCCGGUGGCAGUGUUGCUUAGUAGCAAUGAGGCACAGUGGCAUGUUCUUCAGUGAGGUAGUACAUGCUCUGAUUGGCUAUGAGGUUUUUUCUUCUGUGUGCUUGAUUGAAUGUCUCCCUGCCCUGUACAAGGCCUGAGCCCAAAAGACAAACCUCUUUCCUUUCACCUCAGAUUAUGCUCUGCUUUUGUUCACCUUGCUCAGUAACAUGCUAUCAGGAUUCUCCUCUUUGGACUCUGUCAGAGUUAUUUAAGUGACUUUACUAACAACUUGUGGGAUGAGCUCAAUUUGGUACGAGGCUAUUAUCCUUAGAUCAAUCUGGGAAAACCUUCAGACAAUGUUUUCCUUCACUCUUGCACUUGCAGAUUGGUACAGGACGCGGGUGGCGCUGUGGGUAAAACCUCAGCGCCUAGGGCUUGCCGAACGCAUGGUCGGCGGUUCGAAUCCCCGCGGCGGGGUGAGCUCCCGUCUUUCGGUCCCAGCUCCUGCCCACCUAGCAGUUCGAAAGCACCCCUAAGUGCAAGUAGAUAAAUAGGUACCGCUUUAUAGCGGGAAGGUAAACGGCAUUUCCGUGCGCUGGUGCUGGCUCGCCAGAGCAGCUUCGUCACGCUGGCCACGGGACCCGGAAGUGUCUCCGGACAGUGCUGGCCCCCGGCCUCUUAAGUGAGAUGGGCGCACAACCCUAGAGUCGGACACGACUGGCCCGUACGGGCAGGGGUACCUUUACCUUGCACUUGCAGGGUCAAUUUGAAAGGCAGAUUUGUAUGAGUGCAAGUAUGAGGUCCAGAUUGACUUGCAACCCCAUGCGGAAGGUUUGGGGGUGGGGUGUAUCUUAUGUAUCUGUAAAGCUGUAGGAACCAAGCCAAAAGGCAAGCAGGAAAAUUGCCCUUCCUGUGUUCAAGGUCAUAUUAUCUACAAUGGGGCCGUUUUUUCGCUUCCCUGUUGCAGAAAGCAUCUGCUUGUGAGCUUUCCCAUAACCUCAGCCCUCCACCAAAUUAUCUUUCAGAAUGCAAAUUGUGUGCUCUAAUAGCCUGUUCUAAUCAGAGACCCUCAAUAGCCCGCUCCCCUGUUUUUCCACAGCAGGUGGGAGAGAGAAGCAGAAUGAAUAUAGAAUGAUACAAUGAAAAAAUCUGUUAUGCACUGAUGCCAGUGAUUACAGGUCUUUGGAGCAAACAGCUGGUGCUGCCUCUGGCCUUUGAAGGGGAAAAACUAACCAGAUAAUUAUUUGCUAUAUUUCAUUGGAUCAGUUGCUUUUGCUCCAAAAUAGGGAAGUUUUCACGUUACUCAGAACUCUGCAACAUUCCAGGAGAGCUGUAUCGCCCGGUAACUUGCAUAGUUCCUUGUCCCUGGUAGCCAGUCUAGCAGAAGAUCUCAUUCCACCUAUUUUGGAUCUCCCUGGUAGGCAACCAGACAAAGGGCUCAUCCACACUUUGGUUUGACCACAGCUAUUCAGGCUGGGUUUAAAUGUCUCAGAAUCACCACAAUUGGCCAAUUUAUUGUUAUAGUUAUGUAAAAAUGCUACUAAAAGUAUACAAGGAAGCUGCCUAAUUGCAAUGGCAAAACAAAACAGAAUCCCGAAGGACAUCUCUGUGGACACCUGCUGUCUCCUACAUAAUUUGUCAGCAGUGAACACUGUUGUGAUCUUUGUUUUUCAGCCUUACAGAGGAAUGUGUGCUUUUUAAAAACAUUAAAUUCCCAGAAUCAGAUGCCGAUGUGCAUGACUUCAAAGCAGAGAACAAAGGGCAAAAUAAAGUCAACAGUGAGUGACAGGUCAGUUUCUAAUUAAUGCUUAAUUAUUUUUUUUUGGGGGGGUGAAAUAGAGAUAUAUAUUUACUACUGAAUAUAUUCAGUAGUAAAUAUAUAUCUCUAUUUCCACUCCCCCAAAAAUAGAGAUAUAUAUUUACUACUGAAUAUAUAUUCACUCGGGAUGUGGAUGGCACUGUGGUCUAAACCUUAGAGCCUAAGACUUGCUGAUCAGAAGGUCGGCGGUUCAAAUCCCCGCGAUGGGGUGAGCUCCAAUUCCUCGGUCCUAGCUCCUGCCCACCUAGCAGUUCAAAAGCAUGUCAAAGUGCAAGUAGAUAAAUAGGUACCGCUCCAGUGGGAAGGUAAACAGUGUUUCCGUGUGCUGCUCUGGUUCGCCAGAAGCGGCUUAGUCAUGCUGGCCACAUGACCUGAAACUGUCUGAGGACAAAUGUUGGCUCCCUUGGCCUAUAGAGCAAGAUGAGCACUGCAACUCCAGAGUCGUCCGCAACUGAAGUUAACGGUCAGGGGCUCCUUUACCUUUCUAUACAGUGGUACCUCGGGUUAAGUACUUAAUUCGUUCCGGAGGUCCGUUCUUAAGCUGAAACUGUUCUUAACCUGAAGCACCACUUUAGCUAAUGGGGCCUCCUGCUGCCGCCGUGCCGCCACAGCACGAUUUCUGUUCUCAUCCUGAAGCAAAGUUCUUAACCCGAGGUACUAUUUCUGGGUUAGCGGAGUCUGUAACCUGAAGCGUAUGUAACCUGAAACAUAUGUAACCCGAGGUACCACUGUAUUCAGUACUCUCUUCUUCUGUAUAGUUGACCAAAUCCCAGCUGUAUUUCAGGCAGUGUGCAUUUAUCGGAAAUGUAAUCACAAAACAAUCUUGUUGUUUCAAAAACCUUUGAGAGUAUAUGAACGGGUGGGGUGGGGUGAGGCCUCUAAUAUCAGCUGGCAAUCAGCAGGAGGAGGCUCCCUCACUUCCUUACAUGUGAUGAGUGAAUGCUUUCGGCCGUGCAAAUCAUAUGAUUCCUGUGAACAAUUUCCAGCUCACAUAGUCAAGAGAAGUAUGGCUCUGAUUUUGCUCCAUGUGAACAGAGAGUGACACCACUGCAUUCUUUCAUUUCAGAAGCGGAAGCAUGACCAGAGGCAAGUUUGUAUCUUGAUCAACAUGCCACAGAGCAUAAUGAAUGGACAACCUGCAGCCCUUGGUCUGCUUGGCCUGUGUCACCUCCUGUUGUCAUUUCCUGGGAGGAGCUGACCACCCC
rnacentral:lncRNA from 1 species